rnacentral:rRNA from 1 species
AACGAACGCUGGCGGCAUGCCUAACACAUGCAAGUCGAACGAGAUCUUCGGAUCUAGUGGCGCACGGGUGCGUAACGCGUGGGAAUCUGCCCUUGGGUACGGAAUAACUCAGAGAAAUUUGUGCUAAUACCGUAUAAUGUCUUCGGACCAAAGAUUUAUCGCCCAAGGAUGAGCCCGCGUAGGAUUAGCUAGUUGGUGAGGUAAAAGCUCACCAAGGCGACGAUCCUUAGCUGGUCUGAGAGGAUGAUCAGCCACACUGGGACUGAGACACGGCCCAGACUCCUACGGGAGGCAGCAGUGGGGAAUAUUGGACAAUGGGCGAAAGCCUGAUCCAGCAAUGCCGCGUGAGUGAUGAAGGCCCUAGGGUUGUAAAGCUCUUUUACCCGGGAUGAUAAUGACAGUACCGGGAGAAUAAGCUCCGGCUAACUUCGU